rnacentral:rRNA from 1 species
UACGGAGGGUGCAAGCGUUAUCCGGAUUCACUGGGUUUAAAGGGUGCGUAGGCGGGCAGGUAAGUCCGUGGUGAAAUCUCUGAGCUUAACUCAGAAACUGCCAUGGAUACUAUUUGUCUUGAAUAUUGUGGAGGUAAGCGGAAUAUGUCAUGUAGCGGUGAAAUGCUUAGAUAUGACAUAGAACACCAAUUGCGAAGGCAGCUUACUACACAGUUAUUGACGCUGAGGAGCGAAAGCAUGGGGAGCGAACAGG